GAUGAACGCUGGCGGCGUGCCUAACACAUGCAAGUCGAACGAAGCACCUUACCUGAUUCUUCGGAUGAAAGUUUGGUGACUGAGAGGCGGACGGGUGCGUAACGCGUGGGUAACCUGCCCUGUACAGGGGGAUAACAGCUGGAAACGGCUGCUAAUACCGCUUAAGCGAUCGAGGAGAAAUCUCCCUGUGUGAAAAACUCCGGUGGUACAGGAUGGGCCCGCGUCUGAUUAGCUGGUUGGCAGGGUAACGGCCUACCAAGGCAACGAUCGGUACCCGGUCUGAGAGGAAGAACGGCCAAAUUGGAACUGAGACACGGGCCAAACUCCUACGGGAGGAAGCAGUUGAGUAUAUUGCACAAUGGGGGAAAGCCUGAUGCAGCAACGCCGGGUGAGUGAAGAAGUAGUUCGGGAUGUAAAGCUCUAUCAGCAGGGAAGAUAAUGACGGUACCUGACUAAGAAGCGCCGGCUAAAUACGUG
rnacentral:rRNA from 1 species